CUCCUACGGGAGGCAGCAGUGGGGAAUCUUGCACAAUGGAGGCAACUCUGAUGCAGCAAUGCCGCGUGAGUGAAGAAGGCCUUUGGGUUGUAAAGCUCUUUUGUGGGGGAAGAAAAUGACGGUACCCCAAUAAGAAGCUCCGGCUAACUUCGUGCCAGCAGCCGCGGUAAU
rnacentral:rRNA from 1 species